AGAGUUUGAUCAUGGCUCAGAAUCAACGCUGGCGGCGCGCUUAACACAUGCAAGUCGAACGAGAAAGCCCGCAAGGGUGAGUAAAGUGGCGUACGGGUGAGUAACACGUGGGUAAUCUACCUUUUGGUGGGGGAAUAACGCUGGGAAACCGGCGCUAAUACCGCAUAAGCUCGGAAGAGGAAAAGAGAAAUCUGCCGAAAGAGGAGCCCGCGGCUGAUUAGCUAGUUGGUGAGGUAAAGGCUCACCAAGGCUAUGAUCGGUAGCCGGCCUGAGAGGGCACACGGCCACACUGGCACUGAAACACGGGCCAGACUCCUACGGGAGGCAGCAGUGGGGAAUCUUGCACAAUGGGGGAAACCCUGAUGCAGCGACGCCGCGUGAGUGAUGAAGCCCUUCGGGGUGUAAAGCUCUUUCGGCAGGGACGAUAAUGACGGUACCUGAAGAAGAAGCUGCGGCUAACUACGUGCCAGCAGCCGCGGUAAUACGUAGGCAGCAAGCGUUGUUCGGAGUUACUGGGCGUAAAGAGUGCGUAGGCGGUUUUCUAAGUUUGGUGUGAAAUCUCCCGGCUUAACUGGGAGGGUGCGCCGAAGACUGGAAGGCUUGAGUAUGGGAGAGGUAAGCGGAAUUCCUGGUGUAGCGGUGAAAUGCGUAGAUAUCAGGAGGAACACCUGCGGUGUAGACGGCUUACUGGACCAUAACUGACGCUGAGGCACGAAAGCGUGGGUAGCAAACAGGAUUAGAUACCCUAGUAGUCC
rnacentral:rRNA from 1 species